GAACAGCAUAGCUGUUUUUCAUGCUGCACGAAGGGAAAUUACACAGGAAGUAAGUCACCUCCUGAAGAGACUAGACACAAGUUAAAUUAAAAUGAAUGAUUAAAUGCCAGAUAAUUCAAGCACCUUGGGCAGAUACUGCACAAGCACUUUUCUUGCUAAGAAAGUAACCACGUAUGUUGCUGACUGACUUUAGAACAACUGAGAAACGGUACUUGUAAAAAAAUCACUAUUGCUAAUUUACCUUCUGGCAGGGGUAGGAACCAGUUUUGGCUCCGAGUAACACUUCAUGCAGUACUGCAACACUGCAACUUGUAAAGAGUACCUGAACAUGUGAGGACAUCGUGUCUGCAUUGCUCCAUGCUUGACUGCUGAACUUGAAUGGCCCUCACAAAAGCAUCACAUAUUGAGCGAAGAACUGUGAAACCCAGCCCCAGCUGAAUGCAUAGUCUGCUGUCUCUUUUGGCUUUGCUAAGUUGAAGGAACAGCAACAUCACCACAUAUCCUGGAUCAAUAACUGAACAUUUUCUGUUUUUACAUGAAACUUAAGGAUUAUCUGAAGAUUUCUGCCAGGGAAAUACUUGUGGAUUCAUUGAAAAGAAAAACAUGAGAAACUCUUAUCAUCAACUAACAUUUAGCUAUUGAGUGUCCACAUAUGAAGCAGUUUACAGCAUCAUGAU